AGUACUGAACAACCUUUUUUUUUUAAACUUAAAAAAUGCAAAAUGCUUUUUUUCCCCCCAUUCUCAUCUUAAGGCCAGCUCAGACAACAGACAUUUGUUUAGAGAGAACAGACUGGACUUCUGGUGAAAGAAUGAACAAAUACAAAACUUCACUUUGUCAAAGUAAGCAUGGAGAAAAUCAACUACAGAGCACAAGUCCAUCAGGAAAAUUUAAAAGACAGAGUUCUGAGUUCUGUCCUGUUCACAUGAGGACAAGAAAUGCCACAUCUGCAGAGCACAUCCCAGUGCCCAGCCCAGAGAGCAGAGGAGCCUCCUCAGCCAGGCACUGCACUCUGCUCACAUCCCGUGAUCUCUUCAGCCAGCCCAAGCUCAAGCAAGGCUCCCACUGUUUUUACUGACACCAAGAGGCCUGAGCUGAAGUCUGGGACAAUUCAGCUGGCAUUAAACAGACACAGUUUUGCACUGGUGGCACACUGCACCUCACCCUCACACACUACAGGAUACCAAGCAAGUGGCCACCAAGAGAAAUACUCUACAUGACAGGAACUACACCGGCCAACUCCUGAUAUACAUCCUCCAAGGUGAUUUUCCAUCCUUAACAUGAAGGACAAUUUACAUCACUCAAGUGCUGGGGAACCUUCAUGCACAGCAGAAUAAACCAGACUCAGAAAACUUCCCAUGAUCUCCAUCUACAAAUAAGCAGACUCAUAAGCAAUAUAGGUCAACUUUAAACUGUUUGGGUUUUGGUUUUCAAAAAAAAAACCCAAACUCAGUAGAUGAGCUGUUACACAAUUUAGAACUCUUCCAUCUUCCACAAAUAUUAGGAAGAUAAGCAGUAAACAGAGAAAGACUGGAUAUUUCAUAUAGUACAGGUUUUACUAGGUUUCUGCAUAUUCUACCACUAGAUCCAGAAAUGAUACACAGUGCAGGGACAGUUGUUUUGCAGGGAGGGUUAACUAGACUACAGCAACAGUAUGUAGUUUCCAUCCAGACAUGCAGUAGAAAAAUUAGCAGCAAUGAACUGUCUUCAAGUGAUGCGAUCUGUAAAUGUACAGCCAUGAGAGACUUCAAAGUGCUGCUGAAUUAUACAUAGUCUGAAUCACAGGCAAGGUGAAUUAUCUAUCUCUGCUGGGGUUACACUGAGAAGCACUUUGUCAGGCAUUCAAAUGUCUGAAAAUCUGAGUGAAGACACUGCAGCUCCCAGCCUAUUAUUUGGAGGAAUUAGUAGCACACAGAACAGACAAAUGUUCUUCUGUGUGCAUUUCUGCAGCAUAUGAGAAAGGCUUUGCAAGCCUUUAAGCAAGGUUAAUGAGGGGUCAACAGAGGAGAAGCUAGCAAGACUGUGUUCUGAUAUUCAGCACUGUUAAUGGAACUGAGGCUUUGUGGGCUGCAGUGUUCUCAUCCUGAAAAAAUCUAGCAGUUAAGAGGAAAAAAGAGCACAGUAACCACUGAGCUAGAUUAACAAAAUAUCAACAAAGAGUCCACUGAGCUUAAAAAUCACCCAGCAUCACACAGUUGGUGCCUAGAAAUGGAAGUCUCAGUGCACAAGCACUGCAUCUACUUCUCUGCACCAACACAUAAACCACUUAAUACUUUCCAGCAUUAAAGACUAGGUAGAGAGAUAAAAGGGAAAGGACUCUUCAAAAUGCAUCCCUGCACAGCAAGAGAAAAAAAAACUGAUCAAAGAUCUGCACAGAUCCUUCCAUCACUCUACUGUCUACAAACCACUGAACACAAAAAACUGGUUAAACAGAGCUGAGCAGCUGAUGUUCCAAAAGUACAUAUCCAAGGUAAAAAACACCCCAGCCACUCCUCAUAAGGCUUGUGCUCUGGAGCCACUGCCAGCUUUGCUGCUCUUCAUGACAUGCUCCAGCACCUCACUGCUCUUCUCUUGGUGAGGCACAGAACUUCCCAGGCACUUUCCUGCUCUCCUUAAAGAGGGAAGACAAAACUUCUGACAGGUAGCAAAACACUAUGCAAGGCCAAGGUAAUGCUUAUUGAAAGAAUUAUUUCACCUUGCUCCUUGGCAAGUCUCCACAAGAAGAAUCAGUUUUAUAUAAGCUACAGACAAUCCUCAUGAAGCAUGGAAAUAACCUGAAGAAAGAUAACACUGAAUGUAAAAUAUAUAUCUAGCACAAUAGAAGAGAAUAGGCUUGAAACAGUUACACAUUUUAAGGUUUCUGAUUAAAGGUAAAUAUUUGCUGUAGGUUUCCUCUUACAUACGGUAUUAAAAAACACUUUAACUUUCAGGAAAGUACACAAGUAGUCAACCUAAGACAUUGAGGGAUUAUUCCCAUUGCUUGUCAGUGUCUUGGUGAAAAGCACCUGCUUUCUAAAUUUUUCACCACUGGUUACGUGGAAGGCAAAAGAAAAUGGGUAAAUGA